GCUAUGAAUACACAUCCAUCGCAUUGUCUGAUUUUGAAAUAUACCGACGAUUUGAAUACAAUGCCCUAUAGACAAAAGUUUCCCCGCUUGAAAAGUAAAAAUGUACAAUUCUGGUUUAAAAAUCGUCGGGCUAAAUGUAAACGUCUAAAUAUGUCGCUGCAAUAUUCCAAUCAAUGUUCCCAGCUGGCGGGUUUGAAUUCCUUUGAACAUAAAUAUGAAGAACGUGAUUAAAUAAAAAUU